GUUUGAUCAUGGCUCAGAACGUACGCUGGCGGCACGCCUAACACAUGCAAGUCGAACGAAGUAGCAAUACUUAGUGGCAGACGGGUGAGUAACAUGUAGGUAUCUGCCCUUUGGCCUGGAAUAACACGAGGAAACUUGUGCUAAUACCGGAUAAGUCUUUACGGAGAAAGCUUUAUGCACCAUUGGAUGAGCCUGCACUUGAUUAGUUUGUUGGUGGGGUAAUGGCCUACCAAGACUGUGAUCAAUAGCUGAUUUGAGAGGAUGAUCAGCCACAUUGGGACUGAGACACGGCCCAAACUCCUACGGGAGGCAGCAGUGGGGAAUCUUGCACAAUGGAGGAAACUCUGAUGCAGCGAUGCCGCGUGAGUGAAGAAGGCCUUUGGGUUGUAAAGCUCUUUCGUCGGGGAAGAAAAUGACUGUACCCGAAUAAGAAGGUCCGGCUAACUUCGUGCCAGCAGCCGCGGUAAUACGAAGGGACCUAGCGUAGUUCGGAAUUACUGGGCUUAAAGAGUUCGUAGGUGGUUGAAAAAGUUGGUGGUGAAAUCCCAGAGCUUAACUCUGGAACUGCCAUCAAAACUUUUCAGCUAGAGUAUGAUAGAGGAAAGCAGAAUUUCUAGUGUAGAGGUGAAAUUCGUAGAUAUUAGAAAGAAUACCAAUUGCGAAGGCAGCUUUCUGGAUCAUUACUGACACUGAGGAACGAAAGCAUGGGUAGCGAAGAGGAUUAGAUACCCUCGUAGUCCAUGCCGUAAACGAUGUGUGUUAGACGUUGGAAAUUUAUUUUCAGUGUCGCAGCGAAAGCGAUAAACACACCGCCUGGGGAGUACGACCGCAAGGUUAAAACUCAAAUGAAUUGACGGGGACCCGCACAAGUAGUGGAGCAUGUGGUUUAAUUCGAAGAUACGCGCAGAACCUUACCAACACUUGACAUGUUCGUCGCGACUCUAAGAGAUUAGAGUUUUCGGUUCGGCCGGACGAAACACAGGUGCUGCAUGGCUGUCGUCAGCUCGUGUCGUGAGAUGUUGGGUUAAGUCCCGCAACGAGCGCAACCCUCACUUUUAGUUGCCAUCAUUAAGUUGGGCACUCUGAAAGAACUGCCAGUGAUAAGCUGGAGGAAGGUGGGGAUGACGUCAAGUCCUCAUGGCCCUUACGUGUUGGGCUACACACGUGCUACAAUGGUAUCUACAACAGGAAGCAAGACUGCGAGGUCAAGCAAAUCCCUAAAAGAUACCUCAGUUCGGAUUGCACUCUGCAACUCGAGUGCAUGAAGCUGGAAUUACUAGUAAUCGUGGAUCAGCGUGCCACGGUGAAUGCGUUCCCGGGUCUUGUACACACCGCCCGUCACACCAUGGGAGUUGGUUCUACCUUAAGGCAAGGUUUCAAACCCUUGACCACGGUAUAGUCAGCGACUGGGGUGAAGUCGUAACAAGGUAGCCGUA
rnacentral:rRNA from 1 species